rnacentral:rRNA from 1 species
GACGAACGCUGGCGGCGUGCUUAACACAUGCAAGUCGAACGGAAAGGCCCUGAUUUUGUGGGGUGCUCGAGUGGCGAACGGGUGAGUAACACGCGAGUAACAUGCCCUUGACUUUGGGAUAACUCCAGGAAACUGGGGCUAAUACCGGAUAGGAGCUCCUGCUGCAUGGUGGGGGUUGGAAAGUUUGGGCGGUUGGGGAUGGACUCGAGGCUUAUCAGCUUGUUGGGGGGGUAGUGGCUUACCAAGGCUUUGAAGGGUAGCCGGCCUGAGAGGGUGACCGGCCACAUUGGGACUGAGAUACGGCCCAGACUCCUACGGGAGGCAGCAGUGGAGAAUAUUGCACAAUGGGCGGAAGCCUGAUGCAGCAACGCCGCGUGCGGGAUGACGGCCUUCGGGUUGUAAACCGCUUUCGCCUGUGACGAAGCGUGAGUGACGGUAAUGGGUAAAGAAGCACCGGCUAACUACGUG